rnacentral:rRNA from 1 species
ACGGGUGAGUAACGCGUAGGUAACCUGCCUGGUAGCGGGGGAUAACUAUUGGAAACGAUAGCUAAUACCGCAUAAGAGUAGAUGUUGCAUGACAUUUGCUUAAAAGGUGCAAUUGCAUCACUACCAGAUGGACCUGCGUUGUAUUAGCUAGUUGGUGGGGUAACGGCUCACCAAGGCGACGAUACAUAGCCGACCUGAGAGGGUGAUCGGCCACACUGGGACUGAGACACGGCCCAGACUCCUACGGGAGGCAGCAGUAGGGAAUCUUCGGCAAUGGACGGAAGUCUGACCGAGCAACGCCGCGUGAGUGAAGAAGGUUUUCGGAUCGUAAAGCUCUGUUGUAAGAGAAGAACGAGUGUGAGAGUGGAAAGUUCACACUGUGACGGUAUCUUACCAGAAAGGGACGGCUAACUACGUGCCAGCAGCCGCGGUAAUACGUAGGUCCCGAGCGUUGUCCGGAUUUAUUGGGCGUAAAGCGAGCGCAGGCGGUUAGAUAAGUCUGAAGUUAAAGGCUGUGGCUUAACCAUAGUACGCUUUGGAAACUGUUUAACUUGAGUGCAAGAGGGGAGAGUGGAAUUCCAUGUGUAGCGGUGAAAUGCGUAGAUAUAUGGAGGAACACCGGUGGCG